rnacentral:rRNA from 1 species
UACGAAGGGGGCGAGCGUUAUUCGGAUUUACUGGGCGUAAAGGGCGCGCAGGCGGCCGCUCAAGUCAGGCGUGAAAGCCCCGGGCUUAACCUGGGAACUGCGUCUGGGACUGAGUGGCUAGAGUUCGGGAGAGGAGAGUGGAAUUCCCAGUGUAGAGGUGAAAUUCGUAGAUAUUGGGAAGAACACCGGUGGCGAAGGCGGCUCUCUGGACCGAGACUGACGCUGAGGCGCGAAAGCGUGGGGAGCAAACAGG